UACGGAGGGGGCUAGCGUUGUCCGAAGUUACUGGGCGUAAAGCGCGCGUAGGCGGGUUGGUAAGUCCGCUGUGAAAGCCCGGAGCUCAACUCCGGAGGGUCGGUGGAUACUGCCAGUCUUGAAGGUGCUAGGGGGAGAUGGAAUUACCGGUGUAGCGGUGAAAUGCGUAGAUAUCGAUAGGAACACCAGUGGCGAAGGCGGUCUCCUGGGGCAUUCUUGACGCUGAGGCGCGAAAGCUGGGGGAGCGAACGGG
rnacentral:rRNA from 1 species